UACGAUGGGGUGUGAUUGGA
rnacentral:siRNA from 1 species